UGUCUAUCCUGGAAGUUGUCA
rnacentral:piRNA from 1 species